CCUACGGGAGGCAGCAGUAGGGAAUUUUGCGCAAUGGGGGAAACCCUGACGCAGCAACGCCGCGUGAUCGAUGAAGCCCCUCGGGGUGUAAAGAUCUGUCAGUGGGGACGAAACCUGACGCUACUCACAGAGGAAGCACCGGCUAACUCCGUGCCAGCAGCCGCGGUAAUACGGAGGGUUCGGGGGGUAAUCGGAAUUACUGGGCGUAAAGCGCUCGUAGGCGGGAUGUCAAGUCAAGGGGGAAAUCCCCGCGCUCAAAGUGGGAACUGCCGUUGAAACUGGCAAACUGGAGGGUGUGAGAGGUUAGCGGAAUGCGAGGUGUAGGAGUGAAAUCCGUAGAUAUCUGGAGGAACAUCAGUGGCGAAGGCGACUAUCUGGCACAUAACUGACGCUGAGGAGCGAAAGCGUGGGUAGCAAACAGGAUUAGAUACCCGUGUAGUC
rnacentral:rRNA from 1 species